AUUGAACGCUGGCGGCAGGCCUAACACAUGCAAGUCGAGCGGAAGAAGGGAGCUUGCUCCUGGAUUCAGCGGCGGACGGGUGAGUAAUGCCUAGGAAUCUGCCUGGUAGUGGUGGAUAACGUCCGGAAAAGGGCGCUCAUAUCGCAUACGUCCUGAGCGAGUAAGUGGGGGAGCUUGGAACGUCACGCUAUCAGAUGAGCGUAGGUCGGCUUAGCUAGUUGUUGGGGUAAAGGCCUACUACGGCGGCGAUCCGUAACUGAUCUGAGAGGAUGGUAAGUCACACUGGAACUGGAACAGGGUCCAGACGCCUACGGGAGGCAGCAGUGGGGAAUAUUGGGCAAUGGGCGAAAGCCUGAUCCAGCCGUGCGGCGUGUGUGAAGAAGGUCUUCGGAUUGUAAAGCACUUUAAGUUGGGAGGAAGGGCAGUAGGUUAAGACCUUGCUGUUGUGACGGUACCAACAGAAGAAGCACCGGCUAACUUCGUG
rnacentral:rRNA from 1 species